UGCCCUUGCAUCACCAAGAGAAAGCUUUAACAUUAUUUAAGGAUCCAAAGCCAGCCAAGAAUAUUAACUACUUCAAACAGGAAAAAUAUUCAGGGCCCAUUCAGCAUGGCUCCUCCAAACACGCCAGAGCAUUUGAGACACUUUUUGCAGCUCUGCCUCCUCAGUCCUCACUCCCAAAAGGCUGUACCUCUACUGUUCACCCCAAGACGACUCCUCAAAAUGUGUUGAGAAGCCCGUUUUGGGGUCAACAGUAUAGAAAGCCGGAGCUAUUUUGGGCUGAGCAGCCGGAGCCACAAAAGUGGCUCCUCAAGUGCUCCGGCUCCUCCGGAGGAGCACUUCAGGAGCCAAGCCAAACGGGCCCUCAAAGCAAGAGUUUAAAGAUUUAAAAAGUUACGACAGCUUAAGAAGGUAGAUGUGGAUAACCUAAGGGCAAGUAAACCUAACCAAGGUUGAUAACAAGAGAAGAAAACAGAGAUUAUUUGUACUGCAUCAUUUUCGUCAAUUAAGGAUACAACCAUAGCUUUAACAAUGUCCCC
rnacentral:misc_RNA from 1 species